AAUAUAAUACAAACGCUAUGGGUAUACAUAUAUAUAUCAUUAUGGUAUCAAUAAUAAUAUCGGGAUACUGUACGGGAAAACGGGAUAUUCCGGGGAUGCGCGGGCCGAAACAUAAUAUGUUUUUCGGCGAUACGUUUCGGCGGGCGCGGUUUCGGACAGCGGGGACGCGUCGCGGACGGAAAACGAACGAUAAAGAAGACGGACAUAAUUCGCACGACGUUAGGGUCGUUGUUGUAGGCGUGAGGUAAGUCGGAAACGUAGGACGUAGAGCCGAAUGUAAUGCAUAUCUGUACGCGACAUU